rnacentral:tRNA from 1 species
GGGCUCGUAGCUCAGUUGGUUAGAGCGCUACGUUGACAUCGUAGAGGUCACAGAUUCAAGUUCUGUCGGGCCCA